UACGUAGGGUGCGAGCGUUGUCCGGAAUUAUUGGGCGUAAAGAGCUUGUAGGCGGUUUGUCGCGUCUGCUGUGAAAAUCCGGGGCUCAACCUCGGGCCUGCAGUGGGUACGGGCAGGCUAGAGUUCGGUAGGGGAGAUCGGAAUUCCUGGUGUAGCGGUGAAAUGCGCAGAUAUCAGGAGGAACACCGGUGGCGAAGGCGGAUCUCUGGGCCGAUACUGACGCUGAGGUGCGAAAGCGUGGGGAGCAAACAGG
rnacentral:rRNA from 1 species